UAUUUUUUUCUUUCUUUCCCCAAGUUUUUCGAUUUUCAUUUCCCUUAUUCUUCCUCUUUUGUUUUUCUUCUUUUCCUUUCUUUUUCUUCAUUUUUUAUUAAGUAUUGAGACUACCAUUUAUUUCGUGUGUUCUAUUACGCUUGGAUCGUAUUUCGUACGCUGUGUAAGUUUCGCUUGAUUACUUUUUCUGUUUCUUUUAACGUUAUUUUAGUCUUAGUUCAUUCUUGGAAAAAUUGGGAUUUU
rnacentral:lncRNA from 1 species